GAAUAGGGAAUGAAGUUCUCCCUCGGGCAACCGAAACCGCUUUUUAGCUGAUGACUUCUGCAAAU
rnacentral:ncRNA from 1 species